rnacentral:rRNA from 1 species
ACUCAGUGAAAUUGAACUCGCUGUGAAGAUGCAGUGUACCCGCGGCAAGACGGAAAGACCCCGUGAACCUUUACUAUAGCUUGACACUGAACAUUGAGCCUUGAUGUGUAGGAUAGGUGGGAGGCUUAGAAGUGUGGACGCCAGUCUGCAUGGAGCCGACCUUGAAAUACCACCCUUUAAUGUUUGAUGUUCUAACGUUGACCCGUAAUCCGGGUUGCGGACAGUGUCUGGUGGGUAGUUUGACUGGGGCGGUCUCCUCCUAAAGAGUAACGGAGGAGCACGAAGGUUGGCUAAUCCUGGUCGGACAUCAGGAGGUUAGUGCAAUGGCAUAAGCCAGC